GCAAGUCGAGGGGCAGCAUUAUCGAAAGCUUGCUUUUGAUAGAUGGCGACCGGCGCACGGGUGAGUAACGCGUAUGCAACCUGCCUUGUACUGGGGGAUAGCCCAGAGAAAUCUGGAUUAAUACCGCAUAACAAUCAUCUUUCGCAUGAAUAAUGAUUUAAAACUCCGGUGGUACAAGAUGGGCAUGCGUAGCAUUAGUUAGUUGGUAAGGUAACGGCUUACCAAGACGAUGAUGCUUAGGGGGUCUGAGAGGAUAGUCCCCCACACUGGUACUGAGACACGGACCAGACUCCUACGGGAGGCAGCAGUGAGGAAUAUUGGUCAAUGGACGCAAGUCUGAACCAGCCAUGUCGCGUGCAGGAUGACUGCCCUAUGGGUUGUAAACUGCUUUUUUACAGGAAUAAUUGUCUCUACGUGUAGAGAUUUGAAUGUACCGUAUGAAUAAGGAUCGGCUAACUCCGUGCCAGCAGCCGCGGUAAUACGGAGGAUUCGAGCGUUAUCCGGAUUUAUUGGGUUUAAAGGGUCCGUAGGCGGUUCUUUAAGUCAGUGGUGAAAUCCCAGAGCUCAACUCUGGAACUGCCAUUGAAACUGAAGGACUUGAAUA
rnacentral:rRNA from 1 species